rnacentral:rRNA from 1 species
CUACCCAUGAGCAGGAUGAAGCGAAAGUAAAAUUUCGUGGAGGUCCGAACCCACGAGCGUUGAAAAGCUCGGGGAUGACUUGUGGGUAGCGGUGAAAUUCCAAUCGAGCCCGGAGAUAGCUGGUUCUCCCCGAAAUAGCUUUAGGGCUAGCCUCAAGGUGAGAGAUACGGAGGUAGAGCACUGAAUGUCCUAGGGGGUAUUGCACCUACCGAAGACUAUCAAACUCCGAAUGCCGUCAUCUUAUACUUGGGAGUCAGACUGUGGGUGAUAAGAUUCAUAGUCGAAAGGGCAACAGCCCAGAUCGUCAGCUAAGGUCCCUAAAUGUAAGUUAAGUGGUAAAGGAUGUGGGAUUGCACAGACAACCAGGAUGUUGGCUUAGAAGCAGCCACUCAUUCAAAGAGUGCGUAAUAGCUCACUGGUCGAGUGAUCCUGCGCCGAAGAUUUCCGGGGCUAAAACUUACUACCGAAGCUACGGCAUCAGUAAUGAGGGGUAGGGGAGCUUCCCAUAUGGGUUGAAGCAUGACCGUAAGGACAUGUGGACAGUAUGGGAGUGAGAAUGUUGGCAUGAGUAGCGAGAUGUGGGUGAGAAUCCCACAGGCCGUAAACCCAAGGUUUCCAGGGGAAGGUUCGUCCGCC